rnacentral:rRNA from 1 species
GACGAACGCUGGCGGCGUGCUUAACACAUGCAAGUCGAACGGAAAGGCCCUGCUUUUGUGGGGUGCUCGAGUGGCGAACGGGUGAGUAACACGUGAGUAACCUGCCCUUGACUUUGGGAUAACUUCAGGAAGCUGGGGCUAAUACCGGAUAGGAGCUCCUGCUGCAUGGUGGGGGUUGGAAAGUUUCGGCGGCUGGGGAUGGACUCGCGGCUUAUCAGCUUGUUGGUGGGGUAGUGGCUUACCAAGGCUUUGACGGGUAGCCGGCCUGAGAGGGUGACCGGCCACAUUGGGACUGAGAUACGGCCCAGACUCCUACGGGAGGCAGCAGUGGGGAAUAUUGCACAAUGGGCGGAAGCCUGAUGCAGCAACGCCGCGUGCGGGAUGACGGCCUUCGGGUUGUAAACCGCUUUCGCCUGUGACGAAGCGUGAGUGACGGUAAUGGGUAAAGAAGCACCGGCUAACUACGUG